rnacentral:rRNA from 1 species
AUUGAACGCUGGCGGCAGGCCUAACACAUGCAAGUCGAGCGAGCGGCGGACGGGUAAGUCAUGUAUGGGGAUCUGCAUGAUGGCGGGGGAUAACUACUGGAAACGGUAGCUAAUACCGCAUACCAUCAGAUGAACCCAUAUGGGAUUAGCUUUUAGGUGAGGUAACGGCUCACCUAGGCGACGAUCCCUAGCUGGUCUGAGAGGAUGAUCAGCGACACUGGGACUGAGAAACGGCCCAGACUCCUACGGGAGGCAGAAGUGGGGAAUAGUGCACAAUGGGCGCAAGCCUGAUGCAGCCAUGCUGCGUGUAUGAAGAAGGCCUUCGGGUUGUAAAGUACUUUCAGUAGGGAGGCGUUACCGACAGAAGAAGCACAGGCUAACUCCGUGCCAGCAGCCGCGGUAAUAC